GGUUAAGCGACUAAGCGUACACGGUGGAUGCCCUGGCAGUCAGAGGCGAUGAAGGACGUGCUAAUCUGCGAAAAGCGUCGGUAAGGUGAUAUGAACCGUUAUAACCGGCGAUGUCCGAAUGGGGAAACCCAGUGCAAUUCGUUGCACUAUCGUUAACUGAAUACAUAGGUUAACGAGGCGAACCGGGGGAACUGAAACAUCUAAGUACCCCGAGGAAAAGAAAUCAACCGAGAUUCCCCCAGUAGCGGCGAGCGAACGGGGAGCAGCCCAGAGUCUGAAUCAGCUUGUGUGUUAGUGGAACGGUCUGGAAAGUCCGACGGUACAGGGUGAUAGUCCCGUACACCAAAAUGCACAGGCUGUGAACUCGAAGAGUAGGGCGGGACACGUGGUAUCCUGUCUGAAUAUGGGGGGACCAUCCUCCAAGGCUAAAUACUCCUGACUGACCGAUAGUGAACCAGUACCGUGAGGGAAAGGCGAAAAGAACCCCGGCGAGGGGAGUGAAAAAGAACCUGAAACCGUGUACGUACAAGCAGUGGGAGCACCUUCGGGUGUGACUGCGUACCUUUUGUAUAAUGGGUCAGCGACUUAUAUUCUGUAGCAAGGUUAACCGUAUAGGGGAGCCGCAGGGAAACCGAGUCUUAACUGGGCGUUAAGUUGCAGGGUAUAGACCCGAAACCCGGUGAUCUAGCCAUGGGCAGGUUGAAGGUUGGGUAACACUAACUGGAGGACCGAACCGACUAAUGUUGAAAAAUUAGCGGAUGACUUGUGGCUGGGGGUGAAAGGCCAAUCAAACCGGGAGAUAGCUGGUUCUCCCCGAAAGCUAUUUAGGUAGCGCCUCGUGAACUCAUCUUCGGGGGUAGAGCACUGUUUCGGCUAGGGGGUCAUCCCGACUUACCAACCCGAUGCAAACUACGAAUACCGAAGAAUGUUAUCACGGGAGACACACGGCGGGUGCUAACGUCCGUCGUGAAGAGGGAAACAACCCAGACCGCCAGCUAAGGUCCCAAAGUCAUGGUUAAGUGGGAAACGAUGUGGGAAGGCACAGACAGCCAGGAUGUUGGCUUAGAAGCAGCCAUCAUUUAAAGAAAGCGUAAUAGCUCACUGGUCGAGUCGGCCUGCGCGGAAGAUGUAACGGGGCUAAACCAUGCACCGAAGCUGCGGCAGCGACACUAUGUGUUGUUGGGUAGGGGAGCGUUCUGUAAGCCUGCGAAGGUGUGCUGUGAGGCAUGCUGGAGGUAUCAGAAGUGCGAAUGCUGACAUAAGUAACGAUAAAGCGGGUGAAAAGCCCGCUCGCCGGAAGACCAAGGGUUCCUGUCCAACGUUAAUCGGGGCAGGGUGAGUCGACCCCUAAGGCGAGGCCGAAAGGCGUAGUCGAUGGGAAACAGGUUAAUAUUCCUGUACUUGGUGUUACUGCGAAGGGGGGACGGAGAAGGCUAUGUUAGCCGGGCGACGGUUGUCCCGGUUUAAGCAUGUAGGCUGAUUGUCCAGGCAAAUCCGGAUAAUCAAGGCUGAGGUGUGAUGACGAGGCACUACGGUGCUGAAGUAACAAAUGCCCUGCUUCCAGGAAAAGCCUCUAAGCAUCAGGUAACAUUAAAUCGUACCCCAAACCGACACAGGUGGUCAGGUAGAGAAUACCAAGGCGCUUGAGAGAACUCGGGUGAAGGAACUAGGCAAAAUGGUGCCGUAACUUCGGGAGAAGGCACGCUGGUGUGUAGGUGAAGUCCCUGCGGAUGGAGCUGAGACCAGUCGAAGAUACCAGCUGGCUGCAACUGUUUAUUAAAAACACAGCACUGUGCAAACACGAAAGUGGACGUAUACGGUGUGACGCCUGCCCGGUGCCGGAAGGUUAAUUGAUGGGGUUAUCCGUAAGGAGAAGCUCUUGAUCGAAGCCCCGGUAAACGGCGGCCGUAACUAUAACGGUCCUAAGGUAGCGAAAUUCCUUGUCGGGUAAGUUCCGACCUGCACGAAUGGCGUAAUGAUGGCCAGGCUGUCUCCACCCGAGACUCAGUGAAAUUGAACUCGCUGUGAAGAUGCAGUGUACCCGCGGCAAGACGGAAAGACCCCGUGAACCUUUACUAUAGCUUGACACUGAACAUUGAGCCUUGAUGUGUAGGAUAGGUGGGAGGCUUUGAAGCGUGGACGCCAGUCUGCGUGGAGCCAACCUUGAAAUACCACCCUUUAAUGUUUGAUGUUCUAACGUUGGCCCCUUACCGGGGUUGCGGACAGUGUCUGGUGGGUAGUUUGACUGGGGCGGUCUCCUCCCAAAGCGUAACGGAGGAGCACGAAGGUUAGCUAAUCCUGGUCGGACAUCAGGAGGUUAGUGCAAUGGCAUAAGCUAGCUUGACUGCGAGCGUGACGGCGCGAGCAGGUGCGAAAGCAGGUCAUAGUGAUCCGGUGGUUCUGAAUGGAAGGGCCAUCGCUCAACGGAUAAAAGGUACUCCGGGGAUAACAGGCUGAUACCGCCCAAGAGUUCAUAUCGACGGCGGUGUUUGGCACCUCGAUGUCGGCUCAUCACAUCCUGGGGCUGAAGUAGGUCCCAAGGGUAUGGCUGUUCGCCAUUUAAAGUGGUACGCGAGCUGGGUUUAGAACGUCGUGAGACAGUUCGGUCCCUAUCUGCCGUGGGCGCUGGAGAAUUGAGGGGGGCUGCUCCUAGUACGAGAGGACCGGAGUGGACGCAUCACUGGUGUUCGGGUUGUCAUGCCAAUGGCACUGCCCGGUAGCUAAAUGCGGAAGAGAUAAGUGCUGAAAGCAUCUAAGCACGAAACUUGCCCCGAGAUGAGUUCUCCCUGAGACUUUAAGUCUCCUGAAGGAACGUUGAAGACGACGACGUUGAUAGGCCGGGUGUGUAAGCGCAGCGAUGCGUUGAGCUAACCGGUACUAAUGAACCGUGAGGCUUAACCUU
rnacentral:rRNA from 1 species